UGCAUGGGGUGAGAGGGUGGAGGGGGAUGCAGAGGCGGAGCCAAAUCGCAUGCUGCUGCGAGGCUGCACUCAAACCUCCCCCGGCUCGCAUCCCGUGCUCAAGCACCAGUCGGUCGCUCCCUCCCCUCCCCUUCCCUCUCUCUCUCACUCUCCACACACUCGCUCGCUCACUCACCCAGACUCACGGCACUCCACACCGCACGCAAGCUCGUUUGCCCGCCCAGACAGAAGAGCCGCAUGCCCCGGCGGCUAGGCUCAGUCUCUCUCUCACUCCAUCCCUCUGCGCUCUCAUCUCGUCUGCUCGGAUACGUCGGGACGGAAAGACAAAGCCGUGCUCCCCCUGCUGUGUCGUCCUCGGAUGUCUUAAGCUCUCCUUUUCUCAAAGGGAAGAGGACGAGGAGAGCUCAUUGAGCGGUGGUGGCCUCGUGACCGAAUGGAAUAGAGGAUCAUUAACAACGGAGGCAGAUGUUUGCGUGUGUGUGUGUGCGCGUGUUAAUUAAUUACACAAAUUGGCCGCGAGGUCACACGAAAUGUAGCUCGCUAGGUAAAUGAAAGAACGGAGGAGGCUGCGGUUUACGGAGGUCAGACCCCUGGCUAUGUGUGAGGCUGUAUGGAUGUGUGGGGUGCCCCGCUGGAUGUCUACCCGUAACACGCCGGCUUGAAGAAGACCCGGCGCAUUGGUGCCUCGAGGAUUCGUGAGCUGGUAUGCGCCGCGCCGUGCUCACUCGGCUCCUUUCAUCCGAAUGACCCCCCCUCGUGUCUCGCUCGCGUCUUGGGAUGUACAUCACCUCCUCGUGGGAUGUCCCAUUCUCGAGACGCGUGCACACGCCCCUGUUGGAAGAUGAGGAGGAAGAGGAGGGGAAUGAGGAUGGGAGACAAGCCCUGGCGCGUCUUAACUCCACAUCGGCUACAAUCCCCCCCUCCCUCUCCCACACUGCUCCACGAGGCGGAAAGAAAAGGGAAUAAAGUCUAAUUAAAAUUUACAGCUUGUGCUACCUACACACUCGACCACGGAAUCCUCAUUAGAAGCGAGGCACGUACCCGGCAGAAUUGAAUGCGGCCCGAAACAAUUGCAGAUGGCACGGGGAACAUUUGUUGGAGAGGCCCCGGAGAAAAAAGGGACGUGAAAAUUGUAAUUGUGCACGUCAUUUGCCCCGCGCAUUGCUCAAUAAUUCGGGAAAUUAAAGCAGCCAUAGGAAUGGAGCCCUCGUGAAAUCGAGUGGGAUUCGUCUGGUCUGAUGUAGUUGGCAAGAGGGUAGUCGGGAAUGAAUAAUUAGGGCUGACAGCUUUUAGCGCUUGCCGUUUCUCUAACUCAUUUUGGCGAAUGUUUAGUUACGGAUUUUUUGUGUGUGUGGAAACUGAAAUCAUAAGAAAAAAAAAGGCCGUCUGGGGAGAAUUGGGAAAUCGUGACUAAAUGUAGGCUGCGUGCAACGACGAUGAUGCACUUUAAGAUUUUUAAAAUGAGGUUGCUAUGUCCCUGCGUGAAACGUGGUGCGUGUGGUAUGCGCGCGAGGCAUUUCCAAGUUAUACAUUUUGUGUACAAGACGCAUUGUGACCUGUAAUGUUUUAUCUGCUGUGACAUUCUCGUGUGCACACACACAUACCAGAGGGGGGGGGGGGCGGGGGCACUCACAAAACAUUCCUUUUUUUAAAUGAAGUUAUUUAUUGAGUACGAAUUGCCCCAUACAUUUGCCGACAAAACACAGCUCUAUCCAUUACAUAGAAAGUGUUUAAAAUGAAAGAAACUAAAGCAAAAUAGCAAGACAAAUGCCUCAAAUAUUGCAAUAAUUUAGAAACAUGAACAAUAACCAUACGAUUUUGUACAAAUCAAAAACAUUUAGGACUCAUUUAACUAAAUAAUUUUUUUACAAACAUAUGCUGCUUGAAUAUGGAGAAAGGAAAUACUUCAUGGAACAUUUAGGUGACAAUUGUCAUGGUUGGUAAAAUGGUCCCAUAAAAAAAACACACACACAAACGCCCGACACCAAAUCUAAGACUAUGAAAUAUGUAGGCACAUAUUGGCUCUAACUAUUCUGUACAAAAUAUGAUACACUGUAGAAAAAUUCUAUAGCUGUUAGUACUGGAAAAGGAUCCUAAAUUAUUGCUAAGUCAAUAGCAAAUAUCACAAAAAACGAUCCUAGACAUUAUUAAAUAUAUAUGAUCCAUACUUGUAGAUUGCUUCUUUAGAAAGUUCGCACUUGUAUGGCAACUAAAUUUAUGUAAUUUUAUUACACAAAGGAUUUUAAAACGUUGGCAUCAUUUUAGUAAUAAGCUCCUCGCCCUCAUACACAUGCAUUGCAUCUGUAGAACACGCAAAGGAGUUGAGAUUUUGGAGGGAAAAAUAGGUUGACGAGUUCCUUUGUAAGAAAAAUGAAAAUGCACUAAAAGGCACAUCUAUUGUUGGCUUCUUAGAGAGUCUGUACAAUAAACACAUCUUUAUUUACUCAACAUUUCGUUCACUUAGGUAAGGAAGACAUGUCUCCUCACAGAGGACUUCUUCAGGUAUAAGUCAUUGGAUGUCAAUCAAAUUCGUGUCUUUUGUUUUUGCUAAAUAAUAACAGUAAAGGCUUCGCCAAAUAAAAUAUGCAUGAACAGUUCGCAAAACUCAUUCCGCACUCUAAUAAGGCAUCGGCUAAAGCUGAAUAGAUACCGUAAAAGUGAAUCUGCUAAUGGGUUUUGUGUCACUCUUAGUUUUACCGUAAACGCCUUUUUUUAUAAUUCUGCACGCGUCCACGUUCACCUUGCAUGUCCGCAAGGUAGGCUAACGUUAGUUAAUUACAAAAAUAUGUCUUUGUUGACGCCUCGAAUUUCUUCCCGACGAUUAAGGUCACCCACUGCGAACAAACAAACAUCGCGUUGCGAAUGUAGACCUGCAGUGCAUUUACUCAACGGUGCAAGUGAAGCGGACUAUGUAUUCGGCGUGUUCUGAAACGGCAAAAAAAAUGUAUUCUGUACUUUAUGCAUCGUUAUUGUUGUUGUUAUUUUGAUAAAAGCGUACACUACCAUGUUGACGUCACCAAUGUGUCUACGAAAGCGCGUAACGGUCUUCAUUAAAAUAUACUCUGGAAGGAAGCGCACGUUUUGCUCCCUUAAGCUUUGCCUUCGGCGUCAAUGCCCAAUUCAGGUGGACCUGCGCACCUGCAAGCAAACGACUCUAUCCACACUUAAAACAAAUUCACGAUUAUCCGCAACCUAGCCCCCACCCCCUCCCCCAUAACUUUACUUGGGUUUCUAUAUUUU